CUUUACUAUAGCUUCGCCUUGGCGUUAGCGACGAUAUGUGUAGGAUAGGUGGGAGCCUAUGAAACCGGGGCGCCAGUUCCGGUGGAGGCAACCUUGAAAUACCACCCUUAUCUUCGUUGACGUCUAACCGCGGCCCGUUAUCCGGGUCCGGGACAUGGCGUGGCGGGUAGUUUGACUGGGGCGGUCGCCUCCCAAAGUGUAACGGAGGCGCGCGAUGGUGGGCUCAGACCGGUCGGAAAUCGGUCGUCGAGUGCAAUGGCAUAAGCCCGCCUGACUGCGAGACUGACAAGUCGAGCAGAGACGAAAGUCGGCCAUAGUGAUCCGGUGGUCCUGCGUGGAAGGGCCAUCGCUCAACGGAUAAAAGGUA
rnacentral:rRNA from 1 species